rnacentral:rRNA from 1 species
GGGGACAAAGUGACAGGUGGUGCAUGGUUGUCGUCAGCUCGUGUCGUGAGAUGUUGGGUUAAGUCCCGCAACGAGCGCAACCCUUGAUUUUAGUUGCCAGCAUUUAGUUGGGCACUCUAAAGUGACUGCCGGUGCAAGCCGGAGGAAGGUGGGGAUGACGUCAAAUCAUCAUGCCCCUUAUGACCUGGGCUACACACGUGCUACAAUGGAUAGUACAAAGGGUCGCGAAGCCGCGAGGUGGAGCUAAUCCCAUAAAACUAUUCUCAGUUCGGAUUGUAGGCUGCAACUCGCCUACAUGAAGCCGGAAUCGCUAGUAAUCGUGGAUCAGCAUGCCACGGUGAAUACGUUCCCGGGCCUUGUACACACCGCCCGUCACACCACGAGAGUUUGUAACACCCGAAGUCGGUAGGGUAACCUUUAUGGAGCCAGCCGCCGAAGGUGGGACAGAUAAUUGGGGUGAAGUCGUAACAAGGUAGCCGUAUCGGAAGGUGCGGCUGGAUCACCUCCUUUCUAAGGAA